rnacentral:rRNA from 1 species
UACGUAGGUGGCAAGCGUUGUCCGGAUUUACUGGGCGUAAAGAGCGCGCAGGCGGCUGGUCAAGUCCGAUGUGAAAUCUCCCGGCUUAACUGGGAAACUGCAUCGGAAACUGAUCGGCUUGAAGGUGGGAGAGGGUAGUGGAAUUCCCGGUGUAGUGGUGAAAUGCGUAGAUAUCUGGAGGAAUACCGGUGGCGAAGGCGGCAUCCUGGACCGAGAUUGACACUGAUGAGCGAAAGCUAGGGGAGCAAACGGG